AUUAUUUAAUAGUGGGAGAGAAAAGUUUUUUUUUAUUUUUUUAUUUGUAGAUUGAAGUAAUUGCAGUGUUAGUACCUAUUGAAGAGGAAUUGGAUAAAGUUUGGUAUAUGACUCUAUCAUUACCAACUAAUAACCAACAUACUAUUUUAGAUGUUAUUGUUGGUAGAGAAUUUGAGAAUAGACAUCAACAAAUUCCACAAGAAAUUCCGCAAUAUAUGGAGGAGGAACAAAUUCGACAUCUUAUGGAGGAGGAAGACACAUGUUUUGCUGGUACUUCAAGAGCACAGAUUUCAACUGGAGUUCAGGAGUUUGGUUCUUCUCUUGAUUUUAAUUAUGUAAGAAGAGAAAAAUGAAAGAAAUGUUCAGUAUGUAUAGGUAGCAUGUAGUGUCAGAUAUGUCUGGCUUGUGUCAUAAUCUUAAGACAGACAUAGUUGAUGAAGGAAGAAGACAGGAAGCAGAAACUCUUCAAAACCAGAGAGAUAUGUUUGAAAAACAUAAAAAAUGGUACGAAGAUCAACACGAGCAUUUGGGCUUCCAAUCUGGCAUGCAUUCCUAUCGUACUGUUGAAGAAAUAAAAGAACAGGAUGCUCGUUAUCAAGUAUUUCUUGAUCAACAAAAAGAAAUGUUUGAAAAACAACAGAAAUGGCAUGAAGAGCAAUAUCACGGAAUGUAUCAACAACAACAAAAAUGGCAUCAAGAUCAGUACUUGGGAAUGCAGUCUUAUAUGAACAACAAUUUUGCUUCCAUGCAAUCCUAUAUGGACAGUAAUUUUGCUUCAAUGAAGAUAUGUAUUGACGAUAAACACGAAAAUGUGAUGACUCGAUUAGAUGAUUUGGAAUCAAAAUUGGAAGGCAUUGCUUGUUCACAGCUGCAUGAUGUUCCUGGUUCUAGCAGUGGCCAGAAAGUACUAUUUCAAGAAAGCGAAGAGGUGUGAACAUCUAGAAAAGAAAAGAAAAAUAAGAAAAUGAAGUAUUCAGGUAAUCUAUUAGAAGACUAUAUCAUGGAAAGAUACAGAACAUUAAGAAAUUGGGUGGCGCGAAAUUCAUCCGGGUAAGAAAUUUGAUUGUAUUUUAUUAUUGUAUUACAUUGAUUUAGUAUUAAUUUAAACUAAAAUAUAUAUAUAGUGCAUAUUGGAGGAUCGUAGGAACAGAGAACUUAUAUGGAAGAGAUACAAUAAAAACUAUAAUGGAUGCAAUGAAAUAUAUCAAUAUUGCGGUUAGUGAAGUUUAUAUCUCUUGCUUAAUUAAUUUUAUUAUGUUAAAGAUAUCUAAUUUAUUUCCAUUUAUUGUAUUAGCAUAUAGAAAUGGAAUUAAAGCUAUUGAGAGAGCUGAUUAAUGAAGGUUGCAGUUGGCUUUCCAAAGAAUAUGCAAUCCUAGACUUCAAAUUUGAACAUGAAUGUGCUGCCCAAUUG
rnacentral:lncRNA from 1 species